rnacentral:ncRNA from 1 species
UAGGCCUAAAAGCAAGCCAAUCAAUUAAGAAAGCGUUAAAGCUCAAACUUACCUAAUAUUUAAUACCAAUGAUUAAUCAAAAUCCCUAACCCUAUAUUGGACAAUUCUAUAAUUAUUUAGAAGAUAUAAUGCUAAUAUGAGUAACCUGAAUAUAUUCUCCUUGCACAAGCAUAAAUAUAGAUCGGAACAACCGCUUACACUUAAACAAACAAAUAACUACAACCACACACCAGUACCCUACUAUACAUCUUGUUAACCCAACCCAGGCGUGCAUAUAAAGGAAAGAUUAAAAGGAAUAAAAGGAACUCUGCAAACAUGAGCCCCGCCUGUUUACCAAAAACAUCACCUCUAGCAUUUACCAGUAUUAGAGGCACUGCCUGCCAGGUGAGUUAUGACUUUAACGGCUGCGGUAUCCUGACUGUGCAAAGGUGGCAUAAUCUUUUAUGUCUCUUAAUUAGAGACUAGUAUGAAUGGCACCACAAGGGCUCAACUGUCUCUUAUUCCCAAUCAGUGAAAUUGACCUUCCCAUGCAGAGGCGAGAAUGCUUAUACAAGAUGAGAAGACCCUGUGGAGCUUAAGUUGCAUAACUCAACAAACACCAAUAUAUAACCUACCGGAACAACCCGUAUAAGCCCCUGAGUUGUAGUCUUUGGUUGGGGUGACCUCAGAGCAUAAAAUAACCUCCAAAUGAAUAUAACCCAGAUUAACAAAUCUAAGUGUAACAAUACCAGUAAUUGACCCAUCUUUUGAUCAAAGGAACAAGUUACCCCAGGGAUAACAGCACAAUCCUAUUUGAGAGCCCAUAUCGAAAAUUAGGGUUUACGACCUCGAUGUUGGAUCAGGACACCCAAAUGGUGCAAUCGCUAUUAAAGGUUCCUUUGUUCAAUGAUUAAAGUCCAACGAUUAAAGUCCUACGAUUAAAGUCCUACGUGAUCUGAGUUCAGACCGGAGAAAUCCAGGUCGGUUUCUAUCUGUAAAUUCAUUUCUCCCAGUAUGAAAGGACAAGAGAAAUAGGGCCAACAUCUCCAAUAAGCCCUAGAGCCAACAUAUGAAUCAAUCUAAAUAUACUAAAUCAAUUUAUGUGCCCCUGAGAACAGGGUUGUUAAGAUGGCAGAGUUGGUAAUUGCAUAAAGUUUAAGCCUU